GAUGAACGCUAGCGGCGCGCUUAAUGCAUGCAAGUCGAGCGAUGAGGCUCUUUCGGGAGCUAUCAGCGGCAGACGGGUGAGUAACACGUAGGUGACCUGCCCAUAAGAGGGGGAUAACAUCCGGAAACGGGUGCUAAUACCGCAUAGUUUUCUGGUCGCAUGAUCGAGAAAGGAAGACGGCCUUUGUGCUGUCGCUUAUGGAUGGACCCGCGGCGUAUUAGUUAGUUGGUGAGGUAAUGGCUCACCAAGACGAUGAUACGUAGCCGACCUGAGA
rnacentral:rRNA from 1 species